rnacentral:lncRNA from 1 species
UGCUCUAUUUCUACAGAAGGAUGUUUUUUUGCGGGGGAGUUGUUUUUUACCGUCACCAGUUCUCUCGCUUUCAAGGGAUUGGAUAUCACGUACGCCUCAAGCAUAUAAAUCAUAUGCAUUUAUCAAAGUCUCCGAUCACGGAAAGAUUGGGAGAGUUUCUCGUCCUCAAGUAAUAGCAGGAUCAACAAUUGGAACCAUCGUUAUUGUCGGACUCGUUGUUGGCUUAUGGAUUGUGCUUUCAAGGAAGAAAAACAAUGGAGUGGAAGGAACGGAAGAUUUCCUUGAUCAACUACAAGGAAUGCCCACGAGAUUCACGUAUGAAGAACUGAAAGCAGCAACUAAGGAUUUCCAUACGAAGCUUGGAAAAGGAGGGUUUGGCUCCGUGUUUGAGGGAAAUUUAGAAACUGGAGAGAAAAUUGCAGUGAAACGUCUAGAGGGUUUAGGCCAAGGGAAGAAGGAAUUCUUGGCAGAGGUCAAGACUAUAGGAAGUAUCCACCAUAUCAACCUGGUGAGACUGAUCGGAUUCUGUGUAGAUAAGCUCAAUUGUCUUUUAGUCUACGAGUUCCUGUGCAACGGGUCCUUGGACAGUUGGAUUUUCCUUAAAGAACCACGACAACCAUCUCUAGAUUGGGAAGGUAGAAGGACAAUUAUCUUGGACAUAGCAAGGGGGCUGGCCUAUCUCCAUGAAGAAUGCAGGCAGAGAAUAAUCCAUUUAGAUAUUAAACCCCAAAACAUCUUGCUUGACGCAAGGCUACGCGCUAAGAUCUCUGAUUUUGGCUUGUCCAAGUUGAUUGACAGGGAUCAAAGUCAAGUGGUGACCACAAUGAGAGGAACUCCUGGGUACUUGGCUCCUGAAUUAUUCAGCUCAGUCAUCACAGAGAAGGCAGAUGUUUAUAGUUUUGGAAUCGUAGUCAUGGAAGUUGUCUGCGGAAAGAAAAAUCUGGAUAGGUCACAGCCAGCUGAGUGCAUGCAUUUGCUCCCUAUUCUUAUGAAGAGGGCACAGGAGGAUCAAUUGAUUGAUAUGGUUGACAAUAGCAGUGAGGAUAUGCAAUUGCACAGGUUAGAAGCUGCGGAGAUGAUGAGGGUUGCUAUUUGGUGUCUGCAAAGUGAUCACACCAGGAGGCCUAGCAUGUCAACCGUGGUUAAGGUCUUAGAGGGCACCAUGGGUGUUGAGGCAGACCUAGACUAUUGCCUUCAGAAUGCAACAACAAUGGCAGCAAUAAGAAGAGAGGCAGUGCUGGGCAGUACUGCCACAUUGCUGCCAUCACUACUAUCAGGACCAAGGUGAAGAAAGAUCUUUUGCGAAAUAUAUGUGGUGUUUAUGUUUCUCUGAUAGGUGUUUUACCUUCAGUUCUCUUUAUAUCGCUAUUGUAAUGUUAUCUGGGAAAUUGUUUAAUUAGCAUAAAGUGUGAUUCUUUAAAGCCAAGACAUGCAAUCAGUUUUCUGUUAAGUUUUUGAGGUAAAGAAUUACUUUUAUAGCCAACAAAGAGCCAAAUAUACAUGAUUCCGGCUAACAUAUUACUAUCAACAUUGUGCUGAUUCUUUUCAGAAAAAUCAUAUCGAAGGCAUUUGAUUGAAUUGUGUUGACUUAGCAUGGAAAAUUGAAGCUACCUCCCCAGAAACCUCUUUUCUUUUCUUUUCUUUUUUCUUGAAGCUGCAAUUUGUCUUCGCAAAUCGCUACUCAUUGCUCAGGAAUAAUGAUGUCAAAGUCACUAACAGUCCAUUCAGCAACUUGAUUAGGGGCCUUGAAUAUUUCAGUUCCUAAAUCAAUGGACAUCCACUGCCUCCUAGCCGGAGAAGUCCCAGGAUCCUGCAAAAUAAGUAAUAGCCGCCAUAUGUUAAUGUCAAAGAGCUUUGUCCAUUUUAACUAUGUCUUGCAAUUACUCACUUAAAGUUGAUCAUACCUUUUUUCAAUGGGAAAAGAAUUAGACCUUAAAUGCUCAAAGCUAAAAUUCUCAAACGAAUCUCAUUCUUUUCAUUGUCGCGGGGGUUGCGACAUCGUCUGGCGACGGCGGAGGCUCUUUGUUGUGCCUUCUGUAUGAGGUGUGGUGUGUUGGGAAGGAUCUUUUGAUUUAAUCAUAAAAUUAUGAUUAAUGUUUAGGAGUUGCCACCUAGUAUUAUGGUCACUAGGAACUUAUGGUCUGCAAAAGUUUGAGUAAGGGACUGGUUGUGCAAGAGAAAGACGCAUCACCCUAGUGCACCUUACCUAAGGUAAGCUGCAUUGUUGUUUGAUUGUUUUUUGUUGGUCUUUUCUAAGGUUCAAGGCAGAUCUCUCUUCAUGAGAGAGUCUCUACCUUAUCGGGUUAAAUCCUAACCGUUCUAAAGUCUGAACUUUAACGUUGCAUUUUUACACUUUGUAUCUUUAAUAUCUGAGGGUGUACUUUAUCAUGUAAUUUUACAGCCCAUAAAUAUUAAAGUCUACAUCUGGACCCUAAAAAAGAUUGGAAAAAGAUUUUUGACAUGUUGGCCAAAUCCUAAUGGAUAAUCAUAAACUGGUUACAAUAUUCAUUUUUUGAUUUUUUCUCAAACUUGAAAAAUAUGCAAUUUUUGUUUUUGUUUUUUUUAUGAAAAAUAUGCUUGGAAAAAUUUUAGGAUUUGGUCGUAUGCAUGAAAAUAAACUUUUUAAGAGAAAAUUAGUUUAAACGUUUUGAGAUUUUUUUUUUAAUAUUUCAGAAAAAACCGGGUAUUUUAAUACCAGAUUUAUAUUUUAUAGUAUAAAUAUACAACCUGAUAUUAUGCAAAAUUGGUUGAAAAUAUUUGAGAAAAUCACAAUUUUUUUUAAAUGAUUUUUUGGAAACUUUUUGGAAUUUUUUUUUUAAAUAUAGUCCACUACAUGAAUAGUGGACAUGAAUUAUAAUUCACGCCACUGUUCACUCAAUGAACAGAGAUGCCAAAGAAGAAGAAGGGGAAGGGGAGAGAAGGCGGACAACCUGGCGCUGCGAUGUUCUGGCCGAGGUUGAUGGUGUGCUACCAAUGGUUUUAGCAGUGGAGCUGGUGGCGGGUGGUAGAGCAGGAAGAAAGAAGAAGAAGAAAACGGGAGGAGCUGCAGAGAGAGACGUUCACAGUGGUUAUUCUGCAGCUGAUGAGGAUUUGGGUUCUUGGGGCGGCUGGGACGCCAUCUGUUGGUGGAGGAGAAAGGCUUCUGUGGGGUCUUUAACAACUGAAGACACGGUGGAGAGAGAAGGAAGAAAAGGAAACUGCAUAAAUGGGGCGAAAAGGCUGGGUUUUGGCCAACUUUAGACCCGAUUUUCCCCUCCCUCAAGCCAUUAACUCCGCCUCUAUUUAUAGGCGGUGGAAGAGGGUAAUCUCAUCUUCACAAGGGAAAAAUUUCAGCUUUUGAUUCUGUUAGGAAGGAUCCUAACCGUUGGCUCAAAGUGGGCAUGGUGCAUUGUCAAAUUUGUAGAAAAAGCUGCCUGAGUUGGCAUGUUUAGGCCGACGUCGUUUGGUUGUCAUUCAGACUAAAAUAUUCACACGGGGAUGUAGAGUGACUGUAGAGGAUCAUUUUCGUGCAAGUUUGGUUAAAUUUGGUGGACGUUUGGUGCAUUAAAUGCACCUGCAAAAUAGGCGAUCGAACCAGCUUUAACCGGGUAAAAGAAGAAGAUAAUGAACAGUGACCAGACGAUGUGUUGUCUGGUCCUCUUUUUUUUUUUUUUUAAUAUGCAAAACAACGCCGUUUUAGGUUUAAAUUAGGGAUUUUUACUGAAUUUCAAUUGAGUCCUUCCUCUUUCAAUUGCUUUCAAUUGAAUCCCUAAUUGACCCUGAACUUUGAAUUUAAUGCAAUUAAGCCCCUUCUAAACUUCAAUUGGAACCCCGAAGUUACGCGCCUUUUACAAUAUGGUCCUUGGUAUUGGAAUUUGUCAAUUUAACCUCUAAUUGAUCAUUAAACUUUCAAUUUCUUUAAUUUAACCCCUGAUUUUUGUUAAUUUCACCCCUAAGGUUUGGUGCCUUUUGCAGAUUGGUCCUUGGCUGCAAAUUUUGUCAAUUUAACCCCCGAGUGACCCCAAAACUUCAAUUUUUCUUGCACAAAAGCAAGUUUUAAAAAAGUCACUAUGAAAAGAAUCAAUCUAUUUUUUUUUUCUAUUGUAAGCAUUAACAAUUUAACAUAUCUGUAACAGUCCGACUGUACGACUUGAUCAAUGUAAAAAAUUCCAACAUAUCCUCUUUAUUUGGGGGAAUUUUUAUUUUAUUUUAAAUUUGGCAGAGUUUCGUUUGCAUUUAGGACAUCCCAAGUUAUUGACUACUGUCAGUUUACUCAAUCAACCCACCAUCACAAGGUCCCAUAAUUCCGGACCUUAUAUCAAACCUCAUAAUUCCACACAAUAUAUAUAUAUAUAUAUAUAUAUAUAUAUAUAUAUAUAUAUCUUAUGAGUAAGAUCAAUAUGAACAUAGUCCAAAUAUCAUAUCAUAAAAUUUAAAAGAAAAUGAAUACUAACAUGCAAAGAAAGUAUUUACAACAUAAUAAGCGUUCCUAAAUGUUUCAAAAGGGUUAAUUACAAGAUAACUAAAAUACUAAAUGAUAAGCUGAAAUUUUAUAAAUACAUUAAGGUUUACACAAAAGUAUACUACAUAACACGUUAAUUCCCUUUUGUUUAAGUUAAAUAUUUACAUAAGCUUUCAUAAAGUAGAGUUCUAAACUAAUGAUUUUCCUGGAUGUUUGAUGGACCUGUUACAUAAAUAAACAUACUAUUAUGUUGAUAAAGAAUAUAUGUAUGCUCAUGUAAUGAAUACGAAUGAAGUAUUAACUUUCUUUUGAAUCCAUGAGAAUUCUAACAAGGAACUUAUAUUUUACUUGUAAAUCUCUUAAACCCAAUUAACACUCAUUUGUAUAUUCUUAGUUGAAUAAUCUUAUUUACUUGCAUACACUGGGUGACCUUGCAAAAUCUAAUCUUGUAAUUCAUUUCCCGGCAAUCUUAUCACAAAUGCCAUUAGCCGAAGCUAAUCUUGUAAAUCAUCUUCCAGCAAUCCUAUCACGGAUGUCAUUAGCUAAUCUUGUAAUUCACAUCCCGGCAAUCCUAUUACGAAUGCCAUUAGCCGAAGUUAAUCUUGUAAUUCACAUCCCGGCAAUCCUAUCAUGAAUGCCAUUAGCCGACGCUAAUCUUGUAAUUCACAUCCCGACAAUCCUAUCAUGAAUGCCAUUAGCCGAAGCUAAUUUUGUAUUUACGCUAGAUUUUAUUUACAUUGAACACGACAUUUACUGUAAUUGCAUACACCAUAUAAAUUUUAAAUUAUAUAAGUGCAAAAUAGGAGGAAAAUCAUGCACCUGCUUCGCCUGUCUCGCGACCUCCCCUAACAGAAGAUCCAAUCCUAGUUGCUCCUCAUGAAUCACAAGGAAGUUUUUUUUUUUUUUUUUUGGUUAUGAUUCCUUCAAGCCGAUAUUAUAGAGAAUUCAUAUUCAUCCAUUACUCAUAUGUUACUUUCGAUGCAUGUUCAUUUCCUUAUAAUAACAUACAUACAUAUCUCAUAUAUAUUUUCAAAGUUAAUAUCUCAAUGUGUAAGCGUUCGUAUGACUCAAUUCUUUUAUAUUCUUAUUUACAGUAUUCACGUGAAAGUCUAUUGUUAUUGUCUAAUUUCCAACUAUUACUGUCUAAUUUUAAACUUUCACUGUCCGACUUUGAACCGUUAUUGUCUGACUUUUAACUGUCACUGUCCAAUUUCCAACCGUUACUGUUUGACUUUGAACCGUUAUUGUCUGUCUUUGAACCGUCACUGUCCAAUUUCCAACUGUCACUGUCCGACUUUGAACCGUUACUGUUUGACUUUCAACUGUCACUGUCCAAUUUCCAACCGUCACUGUCUUACUUUCAACCGUGACUGUCUGACUUUGAACUGUCACUGUCCAAUUUCCAACUGUCAUUGUCCAAUUUCCAACUGUCACUGUCUUACUUUCAACCGUGACUGUCUGACUUUGAACUGUCACUGUCCAAUUUCCAACUGUCAUUGUCCAAUUUCCAACUGUUACUGUCCGAACACUCAUCAGGUUUUUAACUAUAUCUAAUGUUCUAAAACUCCAUUUUAAGUGAGAUUUAUCUCGUUAGAAAGCUAAGACACGAGGCUACCAGUUCUCUGAGGAAGGAGAACCCAGUUUUGCCUCUAAGAUAGUCAAAAUUGCUCAUCAACUAAUCAGUCCUGCUGUCCUACAUAAUCAGUCACGACUCAGUUUCAGUUGGUAACCCAUAACUGGAGUUCUACAUCUCCAAAUUGAGCAAGACUAGUUUCCUUGGUUAGCUAACAUUUAAAUCUACAAUUUUUAUAAGGAAUCCAAUCCUAAUUCCCUCAUCCUUUUAUUCAAAAUCUCACUGAAAGUCAGCAGACAAUUAUGUCCAGAGUUGUCUCCCCCUCCCCUUCACACAAUACUUUCAUAAACUACAUACCACACACAUAAAUUAACUUAAUCUCAACAAUAAGUACUUUUUUCCCAAUUUAUGUUUAAGAACCCUAACCUAUGAUUCAAUAUCAAGACAUCAAUUCUUUAUCGAAUUUAAAAAUGAUAUAUAUUUUUUUAAAAUCAUGUUUAGAAUACUUUACCCGGUACAUUAAGAUCUUGAUCUUCAACCAGUUGAAUAUUUUCAACUCCCUCCUUUCUUUUCUUCUUGUUCAAUUUCUUGGUAAUCCUUUGCUCUCAAGUGUUUAUCCCAUCUAUAAGCUCUAAAUCUUGGAUGGGUUAUUGAAGUGUUAGUGUUUCUCUCUUGAUUUCUCAAGAAUGAGUAUAAAACUCCCUAUCCUCUCUUCUUAUGGUUCCUACUGAUUUUGUUUUGGUGAGGAGAUAGUGUUUAUACUCUAUAUCUUCUCUUAUUUGCAUUUAGGCCACCUUUUUCCCUUAAGUGUAUUAUUAUUAUUAUUUCCUUCAAUUAAAUCCAACCCUCAACAGUACUGAGUUCAUUAUAAUAUCUCAAAUUAUUUCACCCGGAAAUUCAUAUUAAAAAAUUUCUGAAUUCCUAUUUUUUUUAUUUAACAAAAUGCAUGAAUUUCUUCACUUUUAUUUUAUUUAUUUAUUUAUUAUUUUUUUCUUGGGGUUUACAAUAUAUUUACCAAGGGAGAUUUAGUUUUUUUCCCUUAGUUACUAAUGAGUAUUUGUUUUGUCCUUAUAAUAUGCUUUUUAAAGUAUUUUUAGAUAUUUUUGGAUGAUUUUGAUAUUUAUAUUAAAAAUAUUAUUUUAAUAUAUUUUUAAUUAAAAAUCACUUCUAGUUAUAAUACCAAACACCCAGUACUGCUGUUGAGGGCUAUCCCUUGCUAUGAUGGUGCAUAACCUAGGUUAUUAUGCCUUGUUUGUUUUUGCGUUUCAGAAGCAUUAUUGAAAAAAAUUAAAUUUUUUUUUGCUUCAAAUUAAUAUUUUUUUGGUGUUUUCAAAUCAUUUUAAUAUGCUAAUAUCAAAAAUUAUUUUUUGAAAAUAAAAAUUUUUUAUUUUAAUAUAUUUCUAAUAAAAAAAAUACUUUAAAAAAUAAUAACUACCCUAUUUUUAAAUAUUUCUGAAAAGAAAUGGUUGUUCUCUUACGAAAAUUCAAAAGGAAAAGCUAGCCUUCCAAAUAGUCGUGUUCAAAAUCUGGUUUCAUUGGUUGGAAUUUGGAACCUAGUUGAUAAAAAUAAUAUCAGGGUCAUUAUCCAACGACAGUUGGCCGUGACCGAAGGGGUAAAAUUAAUUAAGAAACUGAGCAAGGACCAUAGGCCGACGGCUCUGGGAACGAAAGUAUUUAUCACGGGUCAAUCCUUGUAGGGAUGAUAGACCAUUCUUUACGUCAACAAAUCGUUUUCAAUGAUCUUGUUAUAUCAAAGUUAAUUGUAUUUACGGUUUGUGGAUUCAAAAUGAUGUAUUGAAGUAAAUUAUUAGCUAAUGCUGGCAUAGCAGCUUUUGAACAUGGCUGUACUGCAGCUUUUGAUCAUCUUAUGGUCUCUACCAUACCUCCUGGAAGCACAAAUUCAUUAUGCUGACACAGCACAAGUAUCCACAUCAUGGACAAAUAAUAACAUCUCCUUACCAUCAAUCUCUAGUGCCAAUCGGAUCAUUCUGUUGAAUGAGAUUGGUUUUGCUUGUGGAUUCUACACCGGCUAUUAUGGGGUUUUUUUCGCCGUCUAAUAUGGUCGGCGAGCAGAAAUAAGCCUGUUUGCGAGAAUGCAACUCUGCAGUUUCUCCCAGAAGGAAAUUUGGUCCUGAGAGAUGCAGAUGGGACUCUGGCUUCAUCUGUAAAUUUGACUGGUAGGUCUCCCGGAAGGUUAUUAUUAUUAUUAUUGUGUUUUUUUACGAGUAUCCACACCUCUUUUUACGUCAAGCAUCCUUGAAUAUGAGUCAAUUUUCCAUGCCUGUCAUUCUCGUUCUCGGCUGUUGGGUCUUUAAUGGCUGCAUGCCGUAUUUGACGAGGACUAUUUAAGUAUUAUUCUCGACCUUUUAUUUAUUUAUUUUGGAUUUUUUCUGCUGGUGGGUCUAUAAUGUUUUCUUAUAACGGAAAUCUGUAAACAGAAACAUUUUAUUUAUUUUCCGCGUCAAGAACGUUAAGUAACACAAUCACCCACUUUUUUUUAACUCCCACUCCACUAGAUCUCGCUCCUUCUGCUGUUAAUCCAAUUCCAAAUAUUUAUGGAGAAAAAAAUAUUAAUCUUUAUUUACAACGUUGGUUAAUUACAAUUAGUACAAUGAUAUCAAUUUCUUCUCUUAUACUAAAAUAAUGAUACCAAUUCUAGAUAUUAUAUAUGAAUUAUGUUAUGUUAUGUAUGAAAAAUACUAAAAAAAAAGAUAGGUUAAUUUGGUCAUCCCAUAAAAUUAUAUAUGGAGUGAGAUUAAAACUUAAGGAAUAGGAAUAGCACUGCACAAAAUAUUAAUGAUAUUUAUUAUUUAUAGUAUAUGGUCAAUGAAGUGUCAUGAUUUAUCGAGUGAUUUCCAAUGAAAUUUGAAGCACAUACCAGCUUAAUUCUAAGUUUGCUAGAAGAAUUAUUUGAUUUUUGAACAAAUUCAUAAGCACUUAGGCACAAUCUACUCUUUUUUUCUUUAAAAAAAAAUUGUAUAAAGAACAACUAAAUAUUUAUUAAAAUUAAGAAAUCAACACAUUAAAUAAAAUUGUACUGUUCUCUACAACAAAUUGUGGAGAUCCCAAAAGAAAAGUGAGAGCGAGAUGUGCUUCCGGGACAUGUUAAAAUUAAGAAAUUAACACGUUAAAAAAACUUUCAAUAUGCCUUGUAUAUGUUUGAUAUGUAAAUUGACAUAUUUAAUAUCAAUUCAAUCUUGAGUAUGAACCUAUUCUCCAAUGUCACUUUCAUUUGCUCCAAAUGGGAAGAUAAUGCUUGGAUUUUUAUUUUUUUGUCUCAAGUAAAAUUACUUGAAGUUAAAAGAAAAGUCACGAUGGGUAUUGCGAGGAAAUCAUACAACAAGAAUCGUAAACUCUUGAGGGUAAACAUGUCCGCUAUCCAUGGCUGGUAAUAAGGACGGGGAAAUUAAAGAAUUUUCAUUGAUGGGGCAAAGCAUCACGUUUUGUGUUAAAAAACAGGGAAGCUUCCCAAGUCCUAUGGCUGCUGCUGCACUGCGUUCAUUUGGUGUUGUAUAGCAACAGCAUUUAUUUAUCUGUAUUACAUUCCAGAGUAAUACCAAACAAAAAUAGCAGAGCUCAUGGCUAUAUGGCCUUUGAGUGAUAUCCUGCUAGUGCAGCUUUUGAUCAUGUUAUGUCCUGCAUACUUCCUAGAAGCUCAAACUUCUUACUCCACAGCACAAAAAUACACAUCAUGGACAAACAAUUUGUCCAUUCCAGCGAGAGGCUUUGAUUCCUACCAAAUGAUCUUGAUGAGUGAGUCUGUGUCUUUUGCUUGUGGAUUUUACUCCAAAGACCAGGAAAAUGAUUCCUUUUAUUUUGCAGUUGUAUCACUCCAUGUAACAUAUCAUGUAGAAGCUAUUCUUAAUUUCACUCUUCAGCAUGUCAUAUGGUUGGCAAAUGAAAAUAAGCCUGUUGGACGGAACGCAACUCUAAAGUUACUUCCAGAAGGAAAUUUGGUUCUGAGAGAUGCAGAUGGAGCUUUAGUCUGGUCUACCAACACGUCUAACAUGUCUGUUGCAGGUAUAAAGAUGAUGAAAACAGGGAUGCUUGUGCUUCAAGACCACAAUAAUAAGACUGUGUGGCAAUCUUUCAGUAACACAGCACAUGUGUCCACUUCAUGGACGAAUAAUGAUCCCAUAUCAGCCAUGCCUUAUAAUCUAUAUAAAAUAAUCAUGAUGCACGGAGCUGGUUUUUCUUGUGGAUUUUACUCCAAGGACCGGAAUUUCUUCUAUUUUGCAAUAUGGAAGCAGUUGGAAUAUUCUGGAGAUGAUGAUCCGGAGGCCUUAUGGUUAGCAAACAGAAACAGGCCUGUUCGUCAGAACGCAACUUUACAAUUUUUACCAGAUGGAGAUUUGGUUCUGAGAGAUGCAGAUGGAGCUUUAGUCUGGUCUACCAACACGUCUAACAUGUCUGUUGCGGGUAUGAGGAUGAUGGAAACAGGGAUGCUUGUGCUUCAAGACCACAAUAAUAAGAUUGUGUGGCAAUCUUUUGGUAAUACAGCACAUGUGUCCACUUCAUGGACGAAUAAUGAUCCCAAAUCAGCCAUUCCUUAUAAUCUAUGCAACAUAAUCGUGAUGCACGGAGCUCGUUUUUCUUGUGGAUUUCACUCCAAGGACCGGAAUUCCUUCUAUUUUGCAAUAUGGAAGCAGUCGGAAUAUUCUGGAGAUGAUGAUAUUCCGGAGGCCUUAUGGUUAGCAAACAGAAACAGGCCUGUUCGUCAGAACGCAACUUUACAAUUUUUACCAGAUGGAGAUUUGGUUCUGAGAGAUGCAGAUGGAGCUUUAGUCUGGUCUACCAACACGUCUAACAUGUCUGUUGCGGGUAUGAGGAUGAUGGAAACUGGGAACCUUGAGCUUUAUGAUGUCAAUAACAAGACUGUUUGGAAUUCAUUUGAUCAUCCUUCUGAUGUACUGCUUCUUGGGAACAAAUUAGUGCCAGGACAGAAGCUGGUGGCAAGUGUUUCGAAAACUAAUAGAUCUGAAGGUGUCUUCAGCCUCUCUGUGAUCCCACAAGGUUUGUUUGCUUCUUACCAAGCUACUGCGCCACAAACGUACUUCAAAUUUUCAGUUUUUGGGGGCAUAGACAGCCUCCAACUAAGUCAUGAUGAAUCCUCUGGUGAUCUUGCUUUACUUAUAAUAUCAGCUUCACCUGAUGAGCCGAAUACAAUGCUUACAAGCACCAUUAAAUAUUCAGCGACGGCUUACAUGAAAUUUGAUCCUGAUGGGCAUCUCAGAAUUUAUGAUGGCAACAUGAGUGACGGGGUUGAUCUGUUGACAGAUAUGAUGAGUGCAUGUGAUUACCCAACAGCUUGUGGUAAUUAUGGGCUGUGCUCAAAUGGACAGUGCUCGUGCCCAGUAGGAUUUGUUCGAGCCAAUACCCCAAAUGAUCAAGGCAACUACAAUUGCUGGCAGAUGAGUCCAACCACAUGUGAAAAUCCAAAAUCCCAUUCUCUUCUUCCCCUGGAAGAUGUCUACUAUUUCAAUUAUGUUGACCCUGAGGCAGCGGUCCUGAAAGGAACAGACAUGAAGAGUUGUAAAGAUGCAUGUUUGAAAAACUGUGCAUGCUACGCUGCUCUAUUUCAGUAUUACGUUAAUAAUUCUCUUGGAAAUUGUUUUUUGCCCUCACCAGUUCUUACACUAAUGGGUGAUGGUAAGGAAAGAAACAAUUUCCAAUCUUAUGCCAUCAUCAAAAUUUCUAAUGAUGGAGAGAAUGGAAGUGCUUUUUCAUCUUCUAUCAAUCCUACAUCUUCUAUCAAUCCUAAAGUAAUAGCAGGAUCAACUAUUGGAGCCAUCCUUGUUAUGAGUUUAAUUGUUGGUCUAUGUAUUAUGGUUUGGAGGAAGAAAAGAGAUCGAGAGGAAGGAAUGGAAGACUUGAAUCAACUAUCAGGAAUGCCCAUGAGAUUCACAUACCAAGAACUAAGAGUGGCAACUUGGGAUUUUGAGAAGAAGCUUUGGAGGAGGAGGGUUUGGAUCAGUUUUUGAAGGAAUUCUAGAAAAUGGAGAAAAAAUUGCAGUAAAGCGCCUAGAUGCUUUAGGCCAAGGGCAGAAGGAAUUCUUGGCUGAGGUCAAAAGUAUAGGAAGCAUCCAUCAUGUCAGCCUGGCGAGGCUAAUUGGAUUCUGUGCUGAUAAAUUGCAUACGCUUUUAGUCUAUGAGUUCAUGUGCUGUGGGUCUUUGGAUAAGUGGAUUUUCUGCAGGGAACCACUACUACAUCCUCUGGACUUCCAAACUAGAAGAAACAUUAUCAUGGAUGUAGCAAAGGGGCUGGCCUAUCUCCAUGAAGAAUGCAGACAAAGAAUAGUCCACUUAGACAUCAAACCACAAAACAUUUUGUUGGAUGAAAAUCUGCAUGCUAAGAUCUCUGAUUUUGGCUUGUCUAAGUUGAUUGACAGGGAUCAAAGUCAAGUGGUGACCACAAUGAGAGGAACUCCUGGGUACUUGGCUCCUGAAUUAUUCAGCUCAGUCAUCACAGAGAAGGCAGAUGUUUAUAGUUUUGGAAUCGUAGUCAUGGAAGUUGUCUGCGGAAAGAAAAAUCUGGAUAGGUCACAGCCAGCUGAGUGCAUGCAUUUGCUCCCUAUUCUUAUGAAGAGGGCACAGGAGGAUCAAUUGAUUGAUAUGGUUGACAAUAGCAGUGAGGAUAUGCAAUUGCACAGGUUAGAAGCUGCGGAGAUGAUGAGGGUUGCUAUUUGGUGUCUGCAAAGUGAUCACACCAGGAGGCCUAGCAUGUCAACCGUGGUUAAGGUCUUAGAGGGCACCAUGGGUGUUGAAGCAGACCUAGACUAUUGCCUUCAGAAUGCAACAACAACGGCAGCAAUAAGAAGAGAGGCAGUGCUGGGCAGUACUGCCACAUUGCUGCCAUCACUACUAUCAGGACCGAGGUGAAGAAAGAUCUUUUGCGAUAUAUAUGUGGUGUUUAUGUUUCUCUGAUAGGUGUUUUACCUUCAGUUCUCUUUAUAUCGCUAUUGUAAUGUUAUCUGGGAAAUUGUUCAAUUAGCAUAAAGUGUGACAGGAAAGCAUGAAAAACUGCAAGAAACUGCAAUGAUUAUAACUUCUCUGGCAUUUAAAGCCAAGACAUGCCAUCAGUUUUCAGUUAAGUUUUUGAGGUAAAGAAUUACUUUUAUAGCCAAC